UGCAGUCGAGCGCGAAUAGGGGCAACCCUUAGUAGAGCGGCGCACGGGUGCGUAACACGUGGAUAAUCUGCCUGGAUGCCUGGGAUAACCAGUCGAAAGAUUGGCUAAUACCGGAUAAGCCCACGGUUUCUUCGGAGACUGAGGGAAAAGGUGGCCUCUGUAUACAAGCUAUCACAACCAGAUGAGUCCGCGGCCCAUCAGCUAGUUGGCGGGGUAAUGGCCCACCAAGGCAACGACGGGUAGCUGGUCUGAGAGGACGAUCAGCCACACUGGAACUGAGACACGGUCCAGACUCCUACGGGAGGCAGCAGUGGGGAAUUUUGCGCAAUGGGCGAAAGCCUGACGCAGCAACGCCGCGUGUGUGAUGAAGGUCUUUGGAUUGUAAAGCACUUUCGACCGGGACGAAACCGUAAAGCCUAAUACGCUUUGCCUUGACGGUACCGGGAGAAGAAGCACCGGCUAACUCUGUGCCAGCAGCCGCGGUAAUACAGAGGGUGCAAGCGUUGUUCGGAAUUAUUGGGCGUAAAGCGCGUGUAGGCGGCUUUGCAAGUCGGGUGUGAAAGCCCUCAGCUCAACUGAGGAAGUGCGCCCGAAACUGCAGAGCUUGAGUGCCGGAGAGGGUGGCGGAAUUCCCCAAGUAG
rnacentral:rRNA from 1 species